UACGUAGGUGGCAAGCGUUGUCUGGAAUUAUUGGUCGUAAAGCGCGCGCAGGCGGCCUUUUAAGUCUGAUGUGAAAGCCCACGGCUCAACCGUGGAAGGUCAUUGGAAACUGAAAGGCUUGAGUACAGAAUAGGAAAGCGGAAUUCCACGUGUAGCGGUGAAAUGCGUAGAGAUGUGGAGGAACACCAGUGGCGAAGGCGGCGACCUGGACGGACACUGACGCUGAGACGCGAAAGCGUGGGGAGCAAACAGG
rnacentral:rRNA from 1 species